CCUACGGGGGGCAGCAGUGAGGAAUAUUGGUCAAUGGGCGCGAGCCUGAACCAGCCAAGUAGCGUGAAGGAUGACUGCCCUACGGGUUGUAAACUUCUUUUGUAAAGGAAUAAAGUGAGGCACGUGUGCCUCUUUGAAUGUACUUGAAGAAUAAGGAUCGGCUAACUCCGUGCCAGCAGCCGCGGUAAUACGGAGGAUCCGAGCGUUAUCCGGAUUUAUUGGGUUUAAAGGGAGCGUAGAGGGGUUGUUAAGUCAGUUGUCAAAGUUUGCGGCUCAAACGUAGAACUGCAAUUGAUACUGGCAGUCUUGAGUACAGGAGAGGUAGGCGGAAUUCGCGGUGUAGCGGUGAAAUGCUUAGAUAUCACGAAGAACUCCGAUUGCGAAGGCAGCUUAC
rnacentral:rRNA from 1 species